CUACGUGCCAGCAGCCGCGGUAAUACGGAAGGUCCAGGCGUUAUCCGGAUUUAUUGGGUUUAAAGGGAGUGUAGGCGGUUUGUUAAGCGUGUUGUGAAAUUUAGAUGCUCAACAUUUAACUUGCAGCGCGAACUGUCAGACUUGAGUACACGCAACGUAUGCGGAAUUCAUGGUGUAGCGGUGAAAUGCUUAGAUAUCAUGAAGAACUCCGAUUGCGAAGGCAGCAUACGGGAGUGUAACUGACGCUUAAGCUCGAAGGUGCGGGUAUCGAGCAGGAUUAGAUACCCUGGUAGUCCGCACAGUAAACGAUGGAUGCCCGCUGUUAGCGCCUGGCGUUAGCGGCUAAGCGAAAGCAUUAAGCAUCCCACCUGGGGAGUACGCCGGCAACGGUGAAACUCAAAGGAAUUGACGGGGGCCCGCACAAGCGGAGGAACAUGUGGUUUAAUUCGAUGAUACGCGAGGAACCUUACCCGGGCUUGAAUUGCAGAGGAAUUAUUUAGAGAUA
rnacentral:rRNA from 1 species